UACGGGAGGCAGCAGUUAGGAAUCUUCGGCAAUGGGGGAAACCCUGACCGAGCGACACUGCGUGGAGGAUGAAGGUUUUCGGAUCGUAAACUCCUGAACGAGGGACGAAAAAUGACGGUACCUCGCUAAUAGCACCGGCUAACUCCGUGCCAGCAGCCGCGGUAAUACGGAGGGUGCGAGCGUUAUCCGGAAUCACUGGGCGUAAAGGGCGCGUAGGCGGUUUGUCAAGUCCGAUGUUAAAGCGUGAGGCUCAACCUCAUCACGGCGUUGGAUACUAGCAAGCUUGACGGUUGGAGAGGAAGGUAGAAUUACCAGUGUAGCGGUGGAAUGCGUAGAUACUGGUAGGAAUACCCAUUGCGAAGGCAGCCUUCUGGACAACACGUGACGCUGAGGCGCGAAAGUGUGGGGAGCAAACCGGAUUAGAUACCCGGGUAGUCCACACCCUAAACGAUGCAUACUUGGUGUCGGCCCGUUGGGGUCGGUGCCGGAGUUAACGNNNAAGUAUGCC
rnacentral:rRNA from 1 species